UCUCCACGUUCAAAAGGAAGACCUUGAUGCUGGUGCUCUUUUUGUCCUCAAAUCCAAAGGAUCAUGGAUGCAUUGUGGAUACCACUUGACAACAUCAAUAGUAGCACCACCACUACUCAGUCUGCCAUAUGCCUUGACAUUUCUUGGAUGGGUUGGUGGAAUUUCAUGCUUGAUUAUUGGAGCUUUGGUCACUUUCUAUUCGUACAAUUUGUUGUCUCUUGUUCUUGAACACCAUGCUCAUUUGGGUCAUCGCCAACUUCGCUUUAGGGACAUGGCUAAUCACAUCUUGGGGCCAAGAUGGGGCAGGUAUUAUGUGGGCCCAAUUCAAUUCACAGUGUGUUUUGGUGCUGUUGUUGCUUCCACACUUCUUGGAGGCCAAUGCAUGAUAGCAAGUAAAUUGCC
rnacentral:misc_RNA from 1 species